AGAGUUUGAUCAUGGCUCAGGAUGAACGCUAGCGACAGGCCUAACACAUGCAAGUCGAGGGGCAGCACAUGAGUAGCAAUACUUUGGUGGCGACCGGCGCACGGGUGAGUAACACGUAUGCAACCUGCCUGUAAGAGGGGAAUAACCCGGAGAAAUUCGGACUAAUACCGCAUAAUACCACGAAGCUGCAUGGCUUUGUGGUUAAACAUUUAUGGCUUACAGAUGGGCAUGCGUAUGAUUAGCUAGUUGGUGAGGUAACGGCUCACCAAGGCAACGAUCAUUAGGGGUUCUGAGAGGAAGGUCCCCCACACUGGUACUGAGACACGGACCAGACUCCUACGGGAGGCAGCAGUGAGGAAUAUUGGUCAAUGGGCGAGAGCCUGAACCAGCCAAGUCGCGUGAAGGAAGAAGGUUCUAUGGAUUGUAAACUUCUUUUAUAAGGGAAUAAAAAAGAGUACGYGUACUCUAUUGUAUGUACUUUAUGAAUAAGGAUCGGCUAACUCCGUGCCAGCAGCCGCGGUAAUACGGAGGAUCCAAGCGUUAUCCGGAUUUAUUGGGUUUAAAGGGUGCGUAGGCGGACCUUUAAGUCAGUGGUGAAAGUUUGCGGCUCAACCGUAAAAUUGCCAUUGAAACUGAAGGUCUUGAGUGUAAAUAAGGUAGGCGGAAUGUGUUGUGUAGCGGUGAAAUGCUUAGAUAUAACACAGAACACCAAUUGCGAAGGCAGCUUACUGGGAUACAACUGACGCUGAGGCACGAAAGCGUGGGGAUCAAACAGGAUUAGAUACCCUGGUAGUCC
rnacentral:rRNA from 1 species